UGGGGAAUAUUGGACAAUGGGGGAAACCCUGAUCCAGCGAUGCCGCGUGAGUGAUGAAGGCCUUAGGGUCGUAAAGCUCUUUUACCCGGGAUGAUAAUGACAGUACCGGGAGAAUAAGCUCCGGCUAACUCCGUGCCAGCAGCCGCGGUAAUACGGAGGGAGCUAGCGUUGUUCGGAAUUACUGGGCGUAAAGCGUACGUAGGCGGUUAUUCAAGUCAGAGGUGAAAGCCCGGGGCUCAACCCCGGAACUGCCUUUGAAACUAGAUAGCUAGAAUCUUGGAGAGGUCAGUGGAAUUCCGAGUGUAGAGGUGAAAUUCGUAGAUAUUCGGAAGAACACCAGUGGCGAAGGCGACUGACUGGACAAGUAUUGACGCUGAGGUACGAAAGCGUGAGGAGCAAACAGGAUUAGAUACCCUGGUAGUCCCUGAGCGGGCUGGCAAGGCGCAU
rnacentral:rRNA from 1 species